rnacentral:rRNA from 1 species
UGGGGAAUAUUGGUCAAUGGGGGGAACCCUGAACCAGCGACGCCGCGUGAGGGAAGAAGGUUUUCGGAUUGUAAACCUCUGUCUUCGGUGAAGAAAAUGACGGUAGCCGAGGAGGAAGCCACGGCUAACUACGUGCCAGCAGCCGCGGUAAUACGUAGGUGGCAAGCGUUGUCCGGAAUUACUGGGUGUAAAGGGAGCGUAGGCGGGAGGAUAAGUAAAGUGUGAAAGGUAUCGGCUCAACCGAUAGACUGCGCUUUAAACUGUCCUUCUUGAGUGGAGCAGAGGCAAGCGGAAUUCCCAGUGUAGCGGUGAAAUGCGUAGAUAUUGGGAGGAACACCAGUGGCGAAGGCGGCUUGCUGGGCUCUAACUGACGCUGAGGCUCGAAAGUGUGGGUAGCAAACA